GACGAACGCUGGCGGCGUGCUUAACACAUGCAAGUCGAACGGAAAGGCCCUGCUUUUGUGGGGUGCUCGAGUGGCGAACGGGUGAGUAACACGUGAGUAACCUGCCCUUGACUUUGGGAUAACUUCAGGAAACUGGGGCUAAUACCGGAUAGGAGCUCCUGCUGCAUGGUGGGGGUUGGAAAGUUUCGGCGGUUGGGGAUGGACUCGCGGCUUAUCAGCUUGUUGGUGGGGUAGUGGCUUACCAAGGCUUUGACGGGUAGCCGGCCUGAGAGGGUGACCGGCGACAAUGGGACUGAGAUACGGCCCAGACUCCUACGGGAGGCAGCAGUGGGGAAUAUUGCACAAUGGGCGGAAGCCUGAUGCAGCAACGCCGCGUGCGGGAUGACGGCCUUCGGGUUGAAAACCGCUUUCGCCUGUGACGAAGCGUGAGUGACGGUAAUGGGUAAAGAAGCACCGGCUAACUACGUG
rnacentral:rRNA from 1 species